UACGAAGGGGGCUAGCGUUGCUCGGAAUCACUGGGCGUAAAGGGUGCGUAGGCGGGUUUUUAAGUCAGGGGUGAAAUCCUGGAGCUCAACUCCAGAACUGCCUUUGAUACUGAAGAUCUUGAGUCCGGGAGAGGUGAGUGGAACUGCGAGUGUAGAGGUGAAAUCGUAGAUAUUCGCAAGAACACCAGUGGCGAAGGCGGCUCACUGGCCCGGUACUGACGCUGAGGCACGAAAGCGUGGGGGAGCAAACAGG
rnacentral:rRNA from 1 species